rnacentral:rRNA from 1 species
AAUGGGGGAAACCCUGACGCAGCCACGCCGUGUGAGUGAGGAAGGCCUUCGGGUUGUAAAGCUCUGUCAUUGGGGAAGAAACUCUAUCUGGGGAAAGUUCAGGUAGAUUGACGGUACCCGAGAAGGAAGCACCGGCUAACUCUGUGCCAGCAGCCGCGGUAAUACAGAGGGUGCAAGCGUUGUUCGGAAUUACUGGGCGUAAAGCGUUUGUAGGCGGUGCUGAGAGUCCUAGGUGAAAUCCCCGAGCUCAACUCGGGAACUGCCUAGGAGACCUCAGCACUAGAGUACUGAAGGGGUUACUGGAAUUCCAUGUGUAGCGGUGAAAUGCGUAGAUAUAUGGAGGAACACCUGUGGCGAAGGCGGGUAACUGGUCAGAGACUGACGCUGAGGAACGAAAGCGUGGGGAGCAAA